GACGAACGCUGGCGGCGUGCUUAACACGUGCAAGUCGAACGGUAAGGCCCUUCGGGGUACACGAGUGGCGAACGGGUGAGUAACACGUGGGUGAUCUGCCCUGCACUUCGGGAUAAGCCUGGGAAACUGGGUCUAAUACCGGAUAGGACCACUGCCUGCAUGGGUGGUGGUGGAAAGCUGUUGCGGUGUGGGAUGGGCCCGCGGCCUAUCAGCUUGUUGGUGGGGUGAUGGCCUACCAAGGCGACGACGGGUAGCCGGCCUGAGAGGGUGACCGGCCACACUGGGACUGAGAUACGGCCCAGACUCCUACGGGAGGCAGCAGUGGGGAAUAUUGCACAAUGGGCGCAAGCCUGAUGCAGCGACGCCGCGUGAGGGAUGACGGCCUUCGGGUUGUAAACCUCUUUCAGCACCGACGAAGCGCAAGUGACGGUAGGUGCAGAAGAAGGACCGGCCAACUACGUGCCAGCAGCCGCCGUAA
rnacentral:rRNA from 1 species